rnacentral:rRNA from 1 species
CUACGGGUGGCUCCAGUGGGGAAUCUUGCACAAUGGGCGCAAGCCUGAUGCAGCAACGCCGCGUGCGGGAAGAAGGCCCUAGGGUUGUAAACCGCUUUCAGUAGGGAAGAAAAUGACGGUACCUACAGAAGAAGGUGCGGCCAACUACGUGCCAGCAGCCGCGGUAACACGUAGGCACCAAGCGUUAUCCGGAUUUAUUGGGCGUAAAGAGCUCGUAGGCGGUUCAGUCAGUCGGGUGUGAAAACUUGAGGCUUAACCUCAAGAGGUCACUCGAUACUACUGUGACUAGAGUGCGGUAGGGGAGCGGGGAAUUCCUGGUGUAGCGGUGAAAUGCGCAGAUAUCAGGAGGAACACCAGUGGCGAAGGCGCCGCUCUGGGCCGUAACUGACGCUGAGGAGCGAAAGCAUGGGUAGCAAACAGGAUUAGAUACCCUAGUAGUC